CACGUAGGGUGCGAGCGUUGUCCGGAAUUAUUGGGCGUAAAGAGCUCGUAGGCGGUGUGUCGCGUCGGCCGUGAAAACCUGCAGCUUAACUGUGGGCUUGCGGUCGAUACGGGCAUCACUGGAGUUCGGCAGGGGAGACUGGAAUUCCUGGUGUAGCGGUGAAAUGCGCAGAUAUCAGGAGGAACACCGAUGGCGAAGGCAGCUCGCUGGGACGGUACUGACGCUGGAGGCGACGGAAAGCGUGGGGAGCAAACAGG
rnacentral:rRNA from 1 species